rnacentral:rRNA from 1 species
UGGUAGGGGUAAAGGCCUACCAAGACUAUGAUGUGUAGCCGGGCUGAGAGGUUGAACGGCCACAUUGGGACUGAGACACGGCCCAAACUCCUACGGGAGGCAGCAGUAGGGAAUUUUCGGCAAUGGAGGAAACUCUGACCGAGCAACGCCGCGUGAACGAUGAAGUAUUUCGGUACGUAAAGUUCUUUUAUUAGGGAAGAAUAAAUGAUGGAAAAAUCAUUCUGACGGUACCUAAUGAAUAAGCCCCGGCUAACUAUGUGCCAGCAGCCGCGGUAAUACAUAGGGGGCAAGCGUUAUCCGGAAUUAUUGGGCGUAAAGGGUGCGUAGGCGGUUAAAUAAGUUUAUGGUCUAAGUGCAAUGCUCAACAUUGUGAUGCUAUAAAAACUGUUUAGCUAGAGUAAGAUAGAGGCAAGUGGAAUUCCAUGUGUAGUGGUAAAAUGCGUAAAUAUAUGGAGGAACACCAGUAGCGAAGGCGGCUUGCUGGGUCUUUACUGACGCUGAGGCACGAAAGCGUGGGGAGCAAACAGGAUUAGAUACCCUGGUAGUCCACGCCGUAAACGAUGAGUACUAAACGUUGGGUAAAACCAGUGUUGAAGUUAACACAUUAAGUACUCCGCCUGAGUAGUACGUACGCAAGUAUGAAACUUAAAGGAAUUGACGGGACUCCGCACAAGCGGUGGAUCAUGUUGUUUAAUUCGAAGGUACCCGAAAAACCUCACCAGGUCUUGACAUGCUUCUGCAAAGCUGUAGAAACACAGUGGAGGUUAUCAGUUGCACAGGUGGUGCAUGGUUGUCGUCAGCUCGUGUCGUGAGAUGUUGGGUUAAGUCCCGCAACGAGCGCAACCCUUAUUGUUAGUUACCAGCACGUAAUGGUGGGGACUUUAGCAAGACUGCCAGUGAUAAAUUGGAGGAAGGUGGGGACGACGUCAAAUCAUCAUGCCCCUUAUGACCUGGGCUACAAACGUGAUACAAUGGCUGUUACAAAGGGUAGCUGAAGCGCAAGUUUUUGGCGAAUCUCAAAAAAACAGUCUCAGUUCGGAUUGAAGUCUGCAACUCGACUUCAUGAAGUUGGAAUCGCUAGUAAUCGCGAAUCAGCAUGUCGCGGUGAAUACGUUCUCGGGGUUUGUACACACCGCCCGUCAAACCACGAAAGUUGGCAAUACCCAAAGCCGGUGGCCUAACUUCGCAAGAAGAGGGAACCGUCUAAGGUAGGGUCGAUGAUUGGGGUUAAG